AUGGCUGCAAAUGGAGGGGCUGAUGGGGAUGAGCCCAGCUACGAUUCAAUGAAAGAUCAAGCACGGAAGCCACUACAGUCAAAUGAUCCGGGGUGGAAAUAUGGAUAUUGGCAUGCUCCUCCCCAACGGAAAAGUGUCGUGUGCAAUCUUUGUGGCAAGAUAACCCCUGGAUGGAUCAAGAGGCACAAGGAGCAUCUUGCUGGCUUAACUGGAGAUGUGAUUGGUUGUCCUAAGGCUACCACACUAGUCAGGAGAGAGAUGGCAGAAUAUUUGGAGCAGAACAGGAGGAUCAAGGGGGUAGAUGUAGGAGGUUGUGGAGGUGAAUGCAGAUGGAACAAUGUCCCCAAUACCAGGCCAAGCUCGGGGACAACAGCCAAGAACAAGAGAGCAUGUGUUGCCAACAUGCAAGGAAGAGGCAAGAAGUCUACCGCUGCUUCCACCAAUAGUUUAAAACCAAUCGUUGCCAUGAUUUGA
rnacentral:rRNA from 1 species